rfam:Lupinus angustifolius cultivar Tanjil contig_26983, whole genome shotgun sequence.
CAAGGUUGGCAUUGAUCUUAUAAUUGCAUAGUAUCCUAUUAUAAUUAUGCAGUUAUGUAUGUUUGAGCAAGAGUAAUACUAGGAUAGAUGAUUUCAUGAGAAACUCGUGUUCAACCUCUC